GAGGCAAGCAAAUGCCUGACACAUGGACUUCGCCGAAUUCCAAAAUGUAGCAAAACAGUGCCUGCAUAUUUGGCAGGAAUCACCACCAGUUCAGGAGACAUCCGUGAAUCUGUGGCCGAAAAGAUGGGCAAGAAGUGCUACAGGACACCAAACCCUAAAGCAGUGGGAACGUGGGGGAGAGAAGAGACAAGGCUGCAGGGAAGGGGGUGCAAAUGAUGGGGCUCUGCAGUGCAAUCUCACAACACCAGGUGCAGGGAAGGCCGGCUGGCAAGGAAUCGAAGGAUCUGAUGAUCACAACAACUUCACUUUCAUCCCUUCGUACGACUGCAACCAAACAGACAUCUCAAAUUAAUUUAGAAGUCAAUGGCUGGUAUUUGCUGUUUGCAGUAAGGAAACCUGGGUUUGCUUACGUGUCUUCAAGGAGAAAAGUGCAGUGGACGGAUUGAAUGCAAUAACAAUGUCCAUUCCUGGCGGGUGAUACAUCAAAACCACAAGUGCCAGAGGGAAAAGACCUGCCAUUGAAAAGCAUGAAGAUAUGAAUGACAGAUUGUUCACUUGACUUGCACGUUCAAAACUAUCUAUUUUGUCCUUACCAGAGUGAAAUGGCUGCUUUGACAUAAUUUUGGUCUCUUGUACAAUGUUAUUUCAUAGUGUUGAAGCCAUUAUAAUUCUAGUUCAGAUGUGUGUAUGUUUUAAAAAUAAUUAUUAAAGAAGGUAAUUUAAAAUACUCAGGCACUAACAUUUUUAUGUUAAUAAUAUUGGUUUUAAUUUCUAAAAAAAAAAAAAUAAAAGUAUGUCACUAUAGGGAAGUUUUGGAUUUAGUAAAUCUGCUAGCUACAAAGUUCCUUUUUAAAGAAUUAAAUUUCUUUGUAAUCCAACUCUAGCAAAUGUUAUUUUCCAGAGGAUGUUAGCAUUCAUGAGAUGUAUUGGAUUUACAAUUCUAGAACAUCUGUUUGCUCAAAGAAAGCAUUAGUGUAAACAGUAAAGGGAUAUUCAUAUUGCUUUGCUAAUAUUUUGGCCUCAGUUUGAAGCAACUGUCUAGUUUCAAUUUGCUCAUGUCCACUGACUGCUUAAACUCUCAGAUGCAAUUACUUGUUCAUUUUAUUAUUUGGGAUCUUUAUACCUGUUCUUUAGGAGUUGUAGGGAGUUACAAUCAAAUUUAUUUUGUUCAGUCGUUCUUUUAGAGCAACAAAGAGCAGCAACCCAGUUUCAUCCACUGCCAAAGCAUUUCCUGUCUGUUAACCCUAUUUUAUUAUCAAUCCCUUUUUGCACAGCAUCAUGUGUCUAUUCUCAAGGCCUUCUUAGCACUAGGAUGAAAUAUAAAUAUCUAAUACCAAUUUUCAACUAAUGUGAAGAUGUUAGAAUGGCUAUUAAAAAUGUUGGGUAUAAUAUUUGAAGAAAUUGAUCCUCUGUUUUUUCCAGUGUCCAACUUCUUGAUAUCAUACUGCCUAAUUUUUUCCUCUCCUGUUAGAAACUAUUGAAAAGAUAUAGCUCACUGUAAAUGUUAUCACCAAGAAAAUCAGAAUUUUUAACACUUUACAGGGGAAGCAGAGAUCAGCAGUUUAAAUGUGAAUGUGUUAUCAUGGUAAUGAUAAAACUCCAUAGGUUUGAACUGAGAAAACUUUUAGGAUUGUUCCAGCUUCAAUGAGCAGAGAAACUGAAAACAUCUUUCCAAAACAUGUUGAACAAAUGCCAGAGGAAGGAGGUUCCACACCAUGCUGGGAAAGCACUCAAAUGUUUAUCUUCAGGACAUCAAAACUCUUGGCCUAAGUGUUUUCUGUUAGAAAUUGAGAUGAAGUUUGCAUUGCUCAAUAAUAUUGGAGGAAAUCAGAAAAACUUUUAAACCUUAAAAAUGGGCAAACUGUGAGGGAAGGGUGCUUUAAUUUUACAUUAUCUUGGUCAGAAUCUGAAAGAUGCAAUACAUUAACAUCUGAUUGUGGAAAUAGUCAAAAGUGAAGAGAAAUAUUACUUGUCCUACAUUUGAUUUAGUCUCAGAAAUGGGGUGGAAAAGUUGCCAACAUUAUUUUAUGUUAUACAACUUGAUGUAUACCAGAGAAGCUGCCUGUCAGGCAGUGCACAAUCUAAAUAAAAACAAGGACAACAGGUAUAUUCAGAAAGAUGAAGUAAAGGAAGACAAGAAAGGAAUGAAAUACCUUCUAUUGCAAAAACAGAGAAGAUGCUACUGAAAAGAUAUAAAAAAGAAAUUAGUAUUUGGCAGAAUCAGUUGAUUAGGGUGGUUCAUGUGUACACACAAAGGAUCAUGUGUGUAGAGAAGAGAUCUACAUAGGAAAUGUUACUUUGGAGCUGUGGAUUGGGAUAUCCAGAGAAAGGUUCAUGACAUGGAUGUUCCUUAGCAUAAACUGGAAUGAAAAAUUGUGGUAUUUGAGAUUGGAAAGAAGGAUACAUAUCAAAGGUGAUAUAAAGCUAAGUAAGGAGCACAUUAAAAUGUAGAAAAGGGAGGCUGUUCUGACUUGAGUCAAGCAGACUGUUAUGGUGGAAGGCUCCGCUCUUUGCUUUCAGCCUCAGGAGUGAUAGACUCCUCUCUUCUUGCACAUUAGAUAGGAGCCUGGCUACACUUUAGAACAGUGUUUUCUUUUAGGUCAGUUCCUAGCUUGCUUUCUUGGUAAAUACUUUGCUAGCAACAGUCCAAGUUGGAUCUGAGAAUUGGAUCCUGCACAUAUAGUAUGUAAGGUUAAUACCUGUUUUGAGAUUUCUACUGUAGCAAAAAAUAUUAAUAAUAACAAUAAUAAUAAUAAUAAAACCCAAAUGCCACCAAACUAAGCACUAUGAUAACCUUUACUCUAAAAUAGCUUCAUAUUGUGGCCUUAGGCAAAAUGCUGAAAUUUAGAUUCUGCUACUUUUAUAUGUCAAACAUGAAUUCAGAUAAAAUACACUUCA